ensembl:lncRNA
UUUGAAAGGCCGAGAGUGAAGUAGCGGCAGAUCCGAAGGUGGCCGGCGGUGCAGGAUUUCUCUUGAUCUGGCUUUUCUGGGUCGGCAUCUAAGAGAGAGGGUCUAACGGAGUAAAGCUCAUAAAUGAAUAAUAACACUGAGGAAUGAGUCAGAUCAUCUCUUAAGAUUUUUUUCAAUCCUGGAUCAAGGUGGUGGAGUGGGAAGAUCCUGAGUUCACCUCCUUCCAGGACACACCAAAACUACAACUACAUAUAGAACAACUAUCUCUGAGAACUGACCUGAAGACUAGCACAACAGAUUUUCUACAACUAAGGAUAUAAGGAAAAGGCCACAUCGAGAAAGGUAGGAAGGGCAGAGUCCUGGUCUAGUGAGAACCUCCCCCACUCCCGUGAGACAACCCACAAGCAGGAGGGAUAUCACAACCGCAAAGGUCCCCCCUGAGGAGCAAGGGGUCCAUGUCCCACAUCAGGCUCCCCAGCCUGGGAGACCUGCACCGGGAAGCCAAGCCCCCAUAGCAUCUGGCUUUGAAAACCAGCAGGGCUUACAUCUGGGAGAGCCCGAGGGCCGUGGGAAAGGGAAGACACUCAAUUAUUAAGGGACUGUCGCAGAAACUCACUUGCUCCAAGUCCUAGCACAGAGGCAGCAGCUUGAAAAGCGCCUGGGUCAUACAAGAAGGAGAUUCAUUGACUAAUUUCAGGGCAUGCACCGGAGGGGCAGGGAUCUGGUGGAAUUUUCUCUGGGGAUGGAAGCACUGGCAGACGUCAUUUGUUUUUACUUUCUUUCCACGUAGCUGGCCUGGUGCUGGUGAGCACUAUUUCUAUCACUCUCCAUCAGCCUAGCUAACACCACGCGCCCUGCCCCUGCUUUCCCCUGAGGACCCAGGGGACCAACCUCACCCACCAGCACACCUGCAACAUUUGCUGCCCAACCGCAACAGGAGGGCACAUGCAGCCCACACAGGGGAUACCCCUGGAGCACCUGGCUCUGUUAAUCAGGGGAGAUUGCACCACUGAGCCCACAGGACACCUCCUACGUAAGGCCGCUCUUUCAAGACUGGGAGAUGAAGCUGAUUUACAUAGAAAUGAACACAGAGGGUUAGGCAAAACGAAGAAACUACAGAAUAUCUUCAGAAGCAAAGAACAAGACAAAACCUCAGAAAAAGAACUAAACAAAGUGGAGACAAGCAGUUUAUCAGAUAAAGAAUUCAAAGUAACAGUCAUAAAAUUGCGCAUCGAACUCAGGAGAAAAGUGGAUGAAUCCGGAGAGGUAAUCUGUGAGGAAAUCAUCAAAGGGCUAGAAGAUCUGAAAAACAAAGAUUUAGAACUUUAGAAUUUAUUAACUGAAAUGAAAAAUACACUCGUGGAAAGCAGCAGGAAAUCAGAGAAUGCAAAAAAACCAAAACAGACUAGUGAUCUGGAAGACAAAUGGAAGUUGCCCGAUCAGAACAGCAAAAAGGGGGACUUUGCUGGUUAAGACUCUGUGCUCCCAAUGUAGGGGCCCAGGUUCAAUCCCUGGUCAGGGAGCUAGAUCCUGCAUGCUGCAACUAAGACCCGGAGCAGCCAAAUAAAUAAAUAAAUAUU